rnacentral:rRNA from 1 species
UACAGAGGGUGCGAGCGUUGUUCGGAAUUAUUGGGCGUAAAGCGCUUGUAGGCGGCCAAUCAAGUCGCGUGUGAAAUCCCUUGGCUUAACCAAGGAAGUGCGCGCGAAACUGAAUGGCUUGAAUGCCGGAGAGGGUCGUGGAAUUCCCGGUGUAGCGGUGAAAUGCGUAGAGAUCGGGAGGAACACCAGCGGCGAAGGCGACUACCUGGCCUGUUCUUGACGCUGAGGCGCGAAAGCUAGGGGAGCAAACGGGG